AAUAUGCACCCUAGCCAAUCAUUUAUGAGUUUGAAAACUAUAUUAGAAAACAAGAUCACUUCAAUGCAAAGGUUAUGAAACAAUUGAAAUACAAUUUUGAUAUGAUUGCUUGCUUAAGUGACUUAUUAUUUAGAAUCUCAAAUGACGUUAGAGGUGUUGGAAAGCAUGCUUCUAUGGUUCAAACCCAAUUAGAACAAGUUCCUAAGUCUCAAAGAGAAUUGCUUGAUGAAAUGAAUAAUAAUAUACAUGACUUUGCUGUUAGAGUUGUAACUAGAGGAGGUGCAAUGACUCUGGAACCACUUUAACCUGAGGGACACCUACAAAGAAUUGAACAAGGUUCACAAAGGAACAACACUAGUGCACCUAGUCCUUCUAAAAAGAAAAAGAAAAAGAAAAAUGAUAGGACUUUGCAUGCUCCAAGUGAACCCGAAAUAGAAAAACCUCCUGAUAAUGAUAAUGAAACUUCUAUCUCCGACGUUGAAACUUAGUCUGGUAAUGAACAUUCACCUAGUGAUAAUGAAAAAGAUAAUGCUGAUGUUAAUGAGGACUCUCAACCUAAUAAUGAAAAAGAACCAGACAAUGAUGUUGAGAUAGAACCAUGAUCUUGAUAACCCACAACCUAAGAAUAAAAGGUAUGUUAAAAAAGACUUUGUAGCUAGAAAACACGGUAAAUAAAGAGAACCGUGGGUUCAAAAACCAAUGCCUUUCCCAUCUAAGUCAACUAAAAAUAAUGAUGAUGAAUAAUUUGAACGCUUUGCUGAAAUGCCGAGGCCAGUCUUUUUGCGUACUCGCUUGACUGAUAUCCUUAAAAUGCCUCCUUAUGAAAAGUAUAUGAAAGACAUCAUCACUAAAAAAAGAAAAAGACCGGAAGAUGAAAUCUCCACUAUGCUUGCUAACUAUACUUUUAAAGAUGGAGUACCUAAAAAACUUGGAGAGCCAGGAAUACCAACUAUACCUUGCUCCAUCAAAAAGAAUUAUGUGAAAACUGCUUUGUGUGAUUUAGGAGCUGGUGUUAGUGUUAUGCCUUUCUCUUUAUAUAAAAGACUUGAUUUGAAUAAACUCACACCUACUGAAAUAUCUUUGCAAAUGGCUGACAAAUCAACUGACAUACCUAUCGGUAUCUGUGAGGAUGUGCCCAUUGUUGUUGCUAAUGUUACUUUUUUGACCGACUUUGUUAUACUUGAGAUGCCCAAGGACGACAACAUGUCAAUUAUCCUUGGUAGACCCUUCCUGAAUACUGCAGGGCCUAUUAUUGAUUGCAAUAUAAGCAAGGUCACUUUUCAUAUCAAUGGUAAUGAUUAUACGGUGCACUUUCCGAAGAAACAAUUCCAAGUGAAUGGUAUUAAUGUUAUUGAAAAAUCUCCGACAAUCACUAUUGGAAGUUUUCAAAUACCUCUACCUACUGUCAAAAAGUAAUAUGAAAUGCUUAUUGUUGGGGACAUUCAUAUCCCUGUUGAGGUAACUUAGUGAUUUAUGAAAGUUCUUCGGUUUCAUGCUAAUCGAAAGUGGUUGUUAAUAAGACCUGAUCAACCUUAUUAAUGGGUCAUUUUGAGCGGUAUGAAGUUAAUGGAUCAUUUUGUGACGUUUGGUAGAACACAAAGUGUUCCUCCGGUAAUUGGGAGUUGCAUAAUCUCAUAGUCAUAGGAACAUGUAUAAGUCAUGAAGAAGGCAAUAGCAGUAAACUAAAACGAUCAAGUGCUAAGCUAACGGAAUUGGUCAAGUCAAUCACAUCAUUCUCCUAAUGAUGUGAUCCCAUUAAUCAAAUGACAACUCAAGUCUAUGGUUAGGAAACUUAACCAUCUUUUAUUAACGAGCUAGUCAAGUAGAGGCAUACUAGUGACACUAUGUUUGUCUAUGUAUUCACACAUGUAUUAUGUUUCCAGUUAAUACAAUUCUAGCAUGAAUAAUAAACAUUUAUCCUGAAAUAAGGAAAUAAAUAAUAACUUUAUUAUUGCCUCUAGGGCAUAUUUCCUUCAAUCUCCCACUUGCACUAGAGUCUAUAAUCUAGUUCACAUCUUUAUGUGAUUAGUUCACAUCUCCAUGUGACUAAUACCCAAAGGGUUUACUAGAGUCAAUAAUCUAGUUCACAUUGCUAUGUGAUUAAUACCCAAAGAGUGAUCAUGUUUUGCUUGUGAGAGAAGUUUAGUCUAUGGGUCUGCCACAUUCAGAUCCGUAUGUAUUUUGCAAAUUUCUAUGUCAACAAUGCUCUGCACGCAGCUACUCUAGCUAAUUGCUCCCACUUUCAAAAUGUAUCCAGAUUGAGACUUAGAGUCAUCUAGAUCAGUGUCAAAAUUUGCAUCGACGUAACCCUUUAGGACGAACCUUUUGUCACCUCCAUAAUCGAGAAACAUAUCCUUAUUCCACUAAGGAUAAUUUUGACCGUUGUCCAGUGAUCUACUCCUAGAUCACUAUUGUACUCCCUUGCUAAACUCAGUGUAGGGUAUACAAUAGAUCUGGUACAUAGCAUGGCAUACUUUAUAGAAACUAUGGCUGAGGCAUAGGGAAUGAAUUUCAUUCUCUUUCUAUCUUCUGCCAUGGUCGGGCUUUGAGUCUUACUCAAUUUCACACCUUGUAACACAGGUAAGAACACUUUCUUUGACUGUUCCAUUUUGAACUACUUCAAAAUCUUGUCAAGGUAUGUACUCAUUGAAAAAACUUAUCAAGCGUCUUGAUCCAUCUAUAUAGAUCUUGAUGCUUAAUAUGUAAGUAGCUUUACCGAGGUCUUUAUUUGAAAAACUCCUUUCAAAUACUCCUUUAUGCUUUCUAGAAAAUUCUACAUUAUUUCCGAUCAACAAUAUGUCAUUCACAUAUUUAUCAGAAAUGUUGUAGUGCUCCCAUUCACUUUCUUGUAAAUACAGGCUUCACUACAAGUCUGUAUAAAACUAUAUGCUUUGAUCAACUCAUCAAAGCGUAUAUUCCAACUCUGAGAUGCUUGCACCAGUCCAUAGAUGGAUCGCUGGAGCUUGCACAUUUUGUUAGCACCUUUAGGAUCGACAAAACCUUCUGGUUGCAUCAUAUACAACUCUUCUUUAAGAAAUCCAUUAAGGAAUGUAGUUUUGACAUCCAUUUGCUAGAUUUCAUAAAAUGUGGCAAUUUGCUAACAUGAUUCGGACAGAUUUAAGCAUCGCUACGAGUGAGAAAAUCUCAUCAUAGUCAACUCCUUGAACUUUGUCAAAACCUUUUUUGACAAGUCUAGCUUUGUAGAUAGUAACACUACUAUCAGCGUCCGUCUUCCUCUUGAAGAUCCAUUUAUUUCUAUGGCUUGCCGAUCAUCGGGCAAGUCAACAAAAGUCCACACUGUGUUCUUAUACAUGGAUCCCAUCUCAGAUUUCAUGGCCUCAAGCCAUUUCGCGGAAUCUGGGCUCAUCAUCGCUUCCUCAUAGUUCGUAGGCUCGUCAUGGUCAAGUAACAUGACAACCAGAACAGGAUUACCGUACCACUCUGGUGCGGAUCUCACUCUGGUUUACCUACGAGGUUCGGUAGUAACUUGAUCUGAAGUUACAUGAUCAUCAUCAUUAGCUUCCUCACUAAUUGGUGUAGCAGUCACGGGAACAGAUUUCUAUGAUGAACUACAUUCCAAUAAGGGAGCAGGUACAGUUACCUCAUCAAGUUCUACUUUCCUCCCACUCACUUCUUUCGAGAGAAACUCCUUCUCUAGAAAGGAUCCAUUCUUAGCAACGAAUGUCUUGCCUUCGGAUAUGUGAUAGAAGGUGUACCCAACUAUCUCCUUUGGGUAUCCUAUGAAGACACAUUUCUCCGAUCUGGGUUUGAGCUUAUCAAGAUGAAACUUUUUCACAUAAGCAUCACAACCCCAAAUUUUAAGAAACGAUAGCUUAGGUUUCUUGCUAAACCAUAGUUCAUAAGGUGUCGUCUCAACGGAUUUAGAUGGUGCCCUUUUUAAUGUGAAUGCAGCUGUCUCUAAUGCAUAACCCCAAAACGAUAGUGGUAAAUCGGUAAGAGACAUCAUAGAUUGCACCAUAUCUAAUAUAGUACGGUUACGAUGUUCGGACACACCAUUACGCUGUGGUGUUGUAGGUGGCGUGAGUUGCGAAACUAUUCCACAUUGUAUCAAAUGAAGACCAAAGUUGUAACUCAAAUAUUCUCCUCCACGAUCAGAUUGUAGAAACUUUAUUUUCUUGUUACAAUGAUUUUCCACUUCACUCUGAAAUUAUUUGAACUUUUCAAAUGUUCCAGAUUUAUGUUUCAUCAAGAAGAUAUACCCAUAUCUUACUCAAAUCAUUUGUGAAGGUGAGAGAAUAAUGAUACCUACCGUGAGCCUCAACACUCAUCGGACUGCAUACAUCAGUAUGUAUUAUUUCCAACAAGUCUGUUGCUUGCUCCAUUGUUCCGGAGAAUGGAGUCUUAGUCAUCUUGCCCAUGAGGCAUGGUUCGCAAGCAUCAACCGAUUCAUAAUCAAGUGAUUCCAAAAGCCCAUCAGCAUGGAUUUUCUUCAUGCGCUUUACACCAAUAUGACCUAAACGGCAGUGCCGCAAAUAAGUUGCACUAUCAUUAUUAACUUUGCAUCUUUUGGCUUCAAUAUUAUGAAUAUGUGUAUCACUACGAUCGAGAUUCAACAAACCAUUUUCAUUGGGUGUAUAACAUAGAAGGUUUUAUUCAUGUAAACAGAAUAACAAUUAUUCUCUAACUUAAAUGAAUAACCAUAGUGCAAUAAACAUGAUCAAAUCAUAUUCAUUCUCAACGCAAACACCAAAUAACACUUAUUUAGGUUCAACACUAAUCCCAAAAGUAUAGGGAGUGUGCGAUGAUGAUCAUAUUAUUCUUGGAACUACUUCCAACACACAUCGUUACUUCACCCUUAACUAGUCUCUGUUCAUUCUGCAACUCCCGUUUCAAGUUACUACUCUUAGCAACUGAACUAGUAUCAAAUACCAAGGGGUUGCUAUAAACACUAGUAAAGUACACAUCAAUAACAUGUAUAUCCAAUAUACCUUUGUUCACUUUGCCAUCAUUCUUAUCCGCCAAAUACUUGGGGCAGUUCCGCUUCGAGUGACUAGUCCCUUUGCAGUAAAAGCACUUAGUCUUAGGCUUAGGUCCAAACUUGGGCUUCUUCACUUGAGCAACAACUUGCUUGCCGUUCUUCUUGAAGUUCCCCUUUUUUCCUUUCCCCUUUUCUUGAAACUAGUGGUCUUGUCAACCAUCAACACUUGAUGCUUUUCUUGAUUUCUACCUUCGUCGAUUUCCGUAUCACGAAGAGCUUGGGAAUCGUUUCCGUUAUCCUUACAUAUUAUAGUUCAUCACGAAGUUCUAGUAACUUGGUGAUAGUGACUAGAGAAUUCUAUCAAUCACUAUCUUAUGUGGAAGAUUAACUCCCACUUGAUUCAAGUGAUUGUAGCACUCAGACAUUCUGAGCUCAUGCUCACUAGCUGAGCUAUUCUCCAUUUUGUAGGCAAAGUACUUGUCAAAGGUCUCAUACCUUUCGACAUGGGCAUGAGUCUGAAAUACUAAUUUCAACUCUUGGAACAUUUUAUAUGCUCCGUGGUGUUCAAAACAUUUUUGAAGUCCCGGUUCUAAGCCGUAAAGCAUGGUGCACUAAACUAUCAAGUAGUCAUCAUACCGAGCUUUGCCAAACAUUCAUAACAUCUGCAUAUGCUCCUGCAAUAGGUCCGUCACCUAGCGGUGCAUCAAGGACAUAAUUCUUCUGAGCAGCAAUGAGGAUAAUCCUUGGAUCACGGAUCCAAUCCGCAUCAUUGCUACUAACAUCUUUCAAUUUAUUUUUCUCUAGGAACAUAUCAAAAAUAAAUGGGGAAGCUAUGUGCGAGCUAUUGAUCUACAACAUAGAUAUGCAAAUACUAUCAGGACUAAGUUAAUUAUAAAUUUAAGUUCAAUUAAUCAUAUUACUUAAGAACUCCCACUUAGAUAGACAUCCCUCUAGUCAUCUAAAUGAUCACGUGAUCCAAAUCAACUAAACCAUGUCUGAUCAUCACGUGAGAUGGAGUAGUUUCAAUGGUGAACAUCACUAUGUUGAUCAUAUCUACUAUAUGAUUCAGGCUCGACCUUUCUGUCUCAGUGUUUCGAGGCCAUAUCUGCAUAUGCUAGGCUCAUUAAGUUUAACCUGAGUAUUCCGCGUGUGCAACUGUUUUGCACCCGUUGUAUUUGAACAUAGAGCUUAUCACACCCGAUCAUCACGUGGUGUCUCAGCACGAAGAACUUUUGCAAUGGUGCAUACUCAGGGAGAACACUUAUACCUUGAAAUUUUAGUAAGGGAUCAUCUUAUAAAGCUAUCGUCGAACUAAGCAAAAUAAGAUCCAUAAAAGAUAAACAUCACAUGCAAUCAAAUAUGUGACAUGAUAUGGACAUCAUUAUCUUGUGCCUUUGAUCUCCAUCUCCAAAGCAUCAUCAUGAUCUCCACCGUCACCAGCAUGACACCAUGAUCUCCAUCAUCUUGAUCUAUAUCAAUGUGUCUGCUAUGUGGCUGCUACGGGCUGAGCAAGAAUCGUUCUUACCUACGCAUCAAAACCACAAUGAUAGUUCGUCAAGUUAGUGUUGUUUAAACCUUCUCAAGGACCGGGCGUAGCCACACUCGGUUCAACUAAAGUUGGAGAAACUGACACCCGCCAGCCACCUGUGUGCAAAGCACGUCGAUAGAACCAGUCUCGCGUAAGCGUACGCGUAAUGUCGGUCCGGGCCGCUUCAUCCAACAAUACCGCCGAACCAAAGUAUGACAUGCUGGUAAGCAGUAUGACUUGCAUCGCCCACAACUCACUUGUGUUCUACUCGUGCAUAUAACAUCUACGCAUAAAACCUGGCUCGGAUGCCACUGUUGGGGAAUGUAGUAAUUUCAAAAAAAUUCCUACGCACAAACAGGAUCAUGGUGAUGCAUAGCAACGAGAGGGGAGAGUGUUGUCUACAUACCUUCGUAGACCGAAAGCGGAAGCGUUAGCACAACGCGGUUGAUGUAGUCGUACGUCUUCAUGAUCCGACCGAUCCAAGUACCGAACGUACGGCACCUCCGAGUUCAACACACGUUCAGCUCGAUGACGUCCCAUGAACUCUGAUCUAGCAGAGCUUCACGGGAGAGUUCUGCCAGCACGAUAGCGUGGUGACGGUGAUGAUGUUGCUACCGACGCAGGGCUUCGCCUAAGCACCUCUACGAUAUGAUUGAGGUGGAAUAUGGUGGAGGGGGGCACCGCACACGACUAAGAGAUCAAGAGAUCAAUUGUUGUGUCUAGAGGUGACCCCCUGCGCCCGUAUAUAAAGGACCAGGGGGGAGGAUCUGAUGGCCUGACUUAUUAGGAAUGAUAGACUACUCAUAUCAAUAAGGAAUUCCUUCUUUUCCGGUAUCCCAUUCGGACAGAACUCCAAAGUUAAGUGUGCUCAGCUUGGAGUAGUGUCAGGAUGGGUGACCGACCGGGAAGUUGCUCCCGGGUGCGCACGAGUGAGGACAAAGUGCGCAAAAAAGACUAGUAUUGAUCUAUGGGGCCAGUCUAGAUCCCGCCAGGAGUAACGACCACCGGCGGGUGUGUCCGGGGUGUUACAAGUUGGUAUCAGAGCCGACCCUCGCGGCUACACGGAUGGUUGCGGACAGGUGCGCGGUCAUGUUGUUCAUGACGUUUGUGACCCGUCGUGGCACACGGCAUGGCACAUGUACCAGAAUGGAUGCGCAGACGGUUGUGCCAAGAGGGAACGUUCCUGUGGCCCGACGAGGACGUCGGUUCCUCUGAGUGGGGGUGUAUCUGAUGGCCUGGCUUAUUAGGAAUGAUACACUACUCAUAUCAAUAAGGAAUUCCUUCUUUUUCGGUAGCCCAUUUGGACAGAACUCCAAAGUUAAGCGUGCUCAGCUUGGAGUAGUGUCAGGAUGGGUGACCGACCGGGAAGUUGCUCCCGGGUGCGCACGAGUGAGGACAAAGUGCGCAGAAAAGACUAGUAUUAAUCUAUGGGACCAGUCUACAUCCCGCCAGGAGUAACGACCACCGGCGGGUGUGUCCGGGGUGUUACAAAGGAGGCGGGCGGCCAGGGGAGGGCGCGCCAAGGAGGAGUCCUACUCCCACCGGGAGUAGGACUCCCUCUUUUCCUAGUUGGAGUAGGAGGGGGAAAGGAAGGGAAGGAGAGAGAGGAAGGAAAGGGGGGCGCCGCCCCCCUCCUUGUCCAAUUUGGACUAGAGGGGGAGGGGGCGCACGGCCUGCCCUAGCCGCCCCUCCUCUUCUCCACUAAAGCCCAUCUUGGCCCAUUAAACUCCCCAGGGGGUUCCGGUAACCCCCCGGUAUUCCGGUAUAUGUCCGAAACUCCCCGAAACCAAUCCAGUGUCCGAACAUAGUCGUCCAAUAUAUCGAUCUUUAUGUCUCGACCAUUUCGAGACUCCUCGUCAUGUCCAUGAUCACAUCUGGGACUCCGAACUACCUUCGGUACAUCAAAACACAAAAACUCAUAAUAUAAUCGUCACCGAAACUUUAAGCGUGCGGACCAUACGGGUUUGAGAACUAUGUAGACAUGACCGAGACAUGUCUCCGGUCAAUAACCAAUAGCGGAACCUGGAUGCUCAUAUUGGCUCCUACAUAUUCUACGAAGAUCUUUAUCGGUAAAACCGCAUAACAACAUACGUUGUUCCCUUUGUCAUUGGUAUGUUACUUGCCCGAGAUUUGAUCGUCAGUAUCUCAAUACCUAGUUCAAUCUCGUUACCGGCAAGUCUCUUUAAUCGUUUCGUAAUACAUCAUACCGCAACUAACUUAUUAGUUACAAUGCUUGCAAGGCUUAUAGUGAUGUGCAUUACCGAGUGGGCCCAGACAUACCUCUCCGACAAUCGGAGUGACAAAUCCUAAUCUCGAAAUACCCCAACCCAACAAGUACCUUCGGAGACACGUGUAAAGCACCUUUAUAAUCACCCAGUUACGUUGUGACGUUUGGUAGCACACAAAGUGUUCCUCCGGUAAUCGGGAGUUGCAUAGUCUCAUAGUCAUAGGAACAUGUAUAAGUCAUGAAGAAAGCAAUAGCAGUAAACUAAAACGAUCAAGUGCUAAGAUAACAGAAUUGGUCAAGUCAAUCACAUCAUUCUCCUAAUGAUGUGAUCCCGUUAAUCAAAUGGCAAGUCAUGUCUAUGGUUAGGAAACUUAACCAUCUUUGAUUAACGAGCUAGUCAAGUAGAGGCAUACUAGUGACACUAUGUUUGUCUAUGUAUUCACACAUGUAUUAUGUUUCUGGUUAAUACAAUUCUAGCAUGAAUAAUAAACAUUUAUCAUGAAAUAAGGAAAUAAAUAAUAACUUUAUUAUUGCCUCUAGGGAAUAUUUCCUUCAGUUCUAUAUAACCUGGUUUUUAGCGUCAUCACUCGUGAUGUUAUUCCAUUGCCUGCUCCUGCUUUGUUUGAUCUUGUUGCCAUGGGCGGAUAUAGGAUUAUGUCUGCACACAUCAUCGCCUAUCAGAACGAUUAGGCUGCUGCAGAGGAGGAGGAAGAGCCUCAGCAGUUGGACCAGUGGAUGCCCGCUCCCGAGUACCCCAACUACUACCCAGGCUUCUGAUUAAUUACCAAGUUAGGCCAAAAGCCUAAGCUUGGGGGAGUACAUGUUUCUCACCGACAUUACAUUCAUUCUCGCUUAUUCCAUUUGUCGGUGUUCACACUUUUUCAUUGUAUCAUCCAUGCUUGAUUUUAUUUUCUCACUUUCUUCUUGUGUGUUUGAAAAACCCUUAGAAAAACCAAAAAAAUUAGUUGUAGCUAGUUUACUUUCUAUGCAUGCUUAGCUGUAGUAUUAAAAAGAAAACCCAAAAAUAUUUCCUUGUUCUUCUUUUGCUUGUUGGGAGCUUCCCUGUGUAAAUAUUUUUUCUCAUUUUUGCUUUUCCCUUUUAAUUGCUUGUUCAAGAAAACCAAAAACUCCAAAAAUAUUUCAGUGUGUUCCUCUGAGUUUCUUUUCUUCUUAUUCGAGUCUUACCGAGGAGAAGACCAUGAUGAAAAUGUUGAGUGGCUCUCAUAUGAAUAACUGUUGAUCUAAUAAAGAGUCCAUUUUACCUUGUCUUCUCCUGUUGAAUAAAAUGUUUGCAGAUUCCAGCUUAGUCCAUGACACUCUUGCACUAUUAUUAUUUUCAUAUCAUUCGGUUGUGCAAGUGAAAGACAAUAAUGACGAUAUUCGAUGAACUGGUCGUGGUAGAGAGAAACUGAUAUGAACUCGACUUGUUCUGUUUGUGUAAAUAUGCUUAACCUAGUAUCCAUGAUUCAGCCCAUUAUGAUUAAACAUGUUUGCAAUGACAAUUAGAGAUUAUAGUUUCUCAUGCCAUGUAUAAGUAGCUGGGAGUGGAUAAUGAUUUAUCUUGGAUAUCAACAUUGCGUUAAAAUGAUUGUGAUGUAGUAUGAUGAUAUGGUAUCCUCCUCUGAAUGUUUGAGUGGCUUGACUUGGCACAUGUUCAUGCAUGUAGUUGAAUCAAAACCAACAUAGACUCUAUGAUAUUUAUGUUCAUGGUGUUCAUAUCCUACUCAUGCUAGUGUCCAAUGUUACUUACGCAUAAUACAUGUUCAUGACUGUUGUUUCUCUCUAGCUGGCCGCUUCUCAAUCUAAUUGCUAGCCUUCACCUGUACUAAGUGGAAAUUCUGCUUGUACAUCAAAAACCUUGAACCCAAAAGUUAUUCUAGAUGAGUCCACCAUACGUACAUAUAUGCGGUAUUACCCUGCCAUCCUAAGUAAAUUUGCAUGUGCCACCUCUAAAAACUUCUAAAAAAUAUCAUUUUUGUGUGCCUGGAUCGUUCAUGGAAUGACAGGAGGUAGUCGGUAUCUUCCAUGCUAAGAGGGUUAUUCUUAGAUAGAGUGCUUAUUCACUCGCCAUCGCACGAGAAAAGGGCGGUAAUAGGGAUGCCCAGUCCCAAACUACAAACAGAAAAGGCUUACAAAUAAUCAAACAAAAACUCCCAAUGGAGUCAAAACCUUUACUUUUAUCGCUUGGGAACCGCCACUAGCGUGCUUAGCAUGGAAGAUAUUGAUAACUAAUAGUCGUGAAGUAAAUGAGAAGGGUGCAUGUCUCAAAAUAUCAUUUACCUCUGUUUUAAAAACUUGAGCUCUGGCAUCUCUGCAAAUCACUGCUUCCCUCUGCGAAGGGACUAUCUAUUUACUUUUAUGUUGUGUCAUCACCUUAUAAAAUAAGCUCCAGAACCUAAGAGCACUGUUGUCAUGACUUAUGCAUUGUGUGUAGCUAAUGUUGGGUGCAUCAUGACUGGAUCUUUUCUACCAUGAAUUACAAUGUUUAGUCGAUGCUCGAACUUUGGAGGUGCUCUGCAUUUAUGUUUUGCGGUCUCAGAAAGGGCUAGCGAGAUACCACUAUUGUCAUAUUAUAUCAUGUUGUUUUGACAACAUUUUGUCGUUUGAGAUAUCUUAUUAUUUCUUGCUAGCUGAUUAUGUCAUUGGUAUGAGUUAAUAUAAUCUUUAAGAGUUAUUGUCGGCAUGGUUAGUUAUGAUGUUGGCUGAAAACCUGGGUGCUGUUUAAGCUUAUUUAUGCAAACAAGAGCAAAAGAGUUCGUAAAAGUUUUUCUUUUUCACUUUCAGUUUAUCAACUGAAUUGCUUGAGGACAAGCAAAGGUUUAAGCUUGGGGGAGUUGAUACCUCUCCAACGUAUCUACUUUUCCUAACGCUUUUUCCUCUUGUUUUGGACUCUAAUUUGCAUGAUUUGAAUAAAACUAACCCCGGAUUGAUGCUAUUUUCAGUAGAACUACCAUGGUGUUGUUUUUGUGCAGAAAUAAAAGUCCUCGGAAUGGAAGGAAACUUUGCGAGGAAUUUUUAUACAAUAAACAAGAAUUUCUGGAGCCAAGACCUACCGGAGGGGGCACCUGGGUGGGCACAACCCACCAGGGCACACCCCCUCCUGGCGUGCCCAGGCGGGUUGUCCCCACCUGGUGGCCCCAUAAACCCUGAUUACAACUCCAUAAAUACCUAUUUUUCCAGAAAAAAAUCUGGGAGAAAGAAUUAUCACGAUCCACGAGACAGAGCCAUCGUCACCUCCUAUUCUUCAUUGGGAGGCUAGAUCUGGAGUCCGUUUGGGGCUCCAGAGAGGGGGAUCUUCGUUCUUCCUCAUCACCAACCCUUCUCCAUCACCAAUUCCAUGAUGCUCCCCACCGGGAGUGAGUAAUUCCCUUGUAGGCUCGCUGGUCGGUAAGGAGUUGGAUGAGAUUCAUCAUGUAAUUGAGUUAGUUUUGUUGGGGCUUGAUCCCUAGUAUACACUAUGUUCUAAGAUUGAUGUUGCUAUGACUUUGCCAUGCUUAAUGCUUGUCACUUUGGGCCCGGGUGCCAUGAUUUCAUAUCUGAACCGUUUAUGUUAUCAUCAUUAAGAUCCGAUCUUGCAAGUUAUAGUCACCUACUACGUGUUAUGAUCCGGCAACCCCGGAGUGACAAUAGUUGGGACCACUCCCGGUGAUGACCGUAGUUUGAGGAGUUCAUGUAUUCACCAUGUGUUAAUGCUUUGUUCCGGUUAUCUAUUAAAAGGAGGCCUUAAUAUCCCUUAGUUUCCAAUAGGACCCUGCUGCCACGGGAGGGUAGGACAAAAGAUGUCAUGCAAGUUCUUUCCAUACGCACGCAUGACUAUUUACGGAAUACAUGCCUACAUUAUAUUUAUGAACUGGAGCUAGUGCCGUAUCGCCCUAGGUUAUAACUGUCUCAUGAUGAACAUCAUCCAACAAGUCACCGAUCCAAUGCCUAUGAAUUUAUCCUAUAUUGUUCUUGCUAAGUUACUACUGCUAUCAUUACUGUUGCACUUGUUAUGAAACUAUUGCUAUCACUGUUACCGUUACCAUUGCUACUGCUACUAGUAUCAAAACUAUCAUAUUACUUUGCAACUGAUCAUGUUGCUAUAAAUAAUUAAUCUCCAGGUGUGGUUGAAUUGAAAACUCAGCUGCUAAUACCUUCAAAUAUUCUUUGGCUCCCCUUGUAUCGAAUCUAUAAAUUUGGGUUGAAUACUCUACCCUCGAAAACUGUUGUGAUCCCCUAUACUUGUGGGUUAUCAGGAGUGCGACACCUAGCAGUGCAUCAAGGACAUAAGCCUUUUGUGCAGCAAUGAGGAUAAUACUCAAGUUAUGGACCCAGUCCGCAUAGUUGCUUCCAUCAUCUUUCAACUUAGCUUUCCCUAUGAGCGCAUUAAAAUUCAGGGGAACUACAGUGCGGGCCAUUGAUCUACAACACAAAUUUUGCAGAGACAAUUAAGACUAAGUUCAUGAUAAUUAGUUCAGUUAAUCAAAUUACUAAUGUACUCCCACUUAAAUCAACAUCCCUCAAGUUGUCUAAGUGAUACAUGAUCCAAAUCAACUAACCCAUGUCCGAUCAUCACGUGAGAUGGGGUAGUCAUCAAUGGUGAACAUCUCCAUGUUGAUCAUAUCUACUAUAUGGCUCAUGUUCGACCUUCCGGUCUCCUGUGUUCCGAGGCCAUGUCUGUACAUGCUAGGCUCGUGAAGUUUAAUCCAAGUAUUAUGCAUGUGUAAAACUGGCUUACAACUGUUGUAUGCAAACGUAGAGUCUAUCACACCCGAUCAUCAUGAGGUGCUUCAAAACGACGAACUUUUGGAAUGGUGCAUACUUAGGGAGAACACAAUUUCUUGAAAUUAAGUGAAGGGAUCAUCUUAUAAUGCUACCAUCAUCCUAAGAAAAAUAAGAUGCAUAAAAAUAUAAAUAUCACAUGCAAUCAAUAUGUGGCAUGAUCUCCAUCGUCACCGGCAUGACACCAUGAUCUCCAUCAGCGUGUCGUCACGUGGUCGUCUCACCAACUAUUGCUUCUACAACUAUUGCUAACGCAUAGCGAUAAAGUAAAGCAAUUACAUGGCGAUUAAUAAAUUAAAGACAAUCCUAUGGCUCCUACCGGUUGCCGAACUCACCGACAUGCAAGUCAUGAACCUAUUACAAAACAUGAUCAUCUCAUACAUCAACAUAUAUCACAUCACGUUUUUGGCCAUACCACAUCACAACAUGCUCCGUAAAAACAAGUUAGACGUCCUCUACUUUGUUGUUGCAAAUUUUACGUGGCUGCUAUGGGCAACUAGGAAGAACCGUUCUUACCUACGCAAAGCCACAACGGUGAUAAUAAAGCCGCCUUUUAACCUUCUACAAGGACCGUCUUCAUCAAAUUAGAUUCAACUAAAGUAGGAGAGACACACACCCACUAGCCACCUUAUGCAAAACAAGUUGCUUGUCAGUCGAUGGAGCCGGUCUCAUGUGUGAGGACAUGUAAAGUUGCUCCGAGCCGCUUCAUCCCACAAUACCGCCGAAUCCAAAUAAGACAAGAGAGGUAAGCAAUUUGAGCAUCAACACCCAAAACUCUUUGUGUUCUACUCGUGCAUAUACAUCUACUCAUAGACCUAGCUCAUGAUGCCACUGUUAGGGAACGAAGCAUAAAAAAAGUUCGUACGAACACCCAAGAUCUAUCUAGGAGAAGCAUAGCAACGAGAGAGAAGAGUGUGUCUACGUACCCUCGUAGACCGUUAAGAGGAGCGUAUAUCACACGAUUGAUGUAGUCGUACUCGUCACGAUCCUAUUGCAAUCCAAAUCGACGAAGUACCGAACGGAUGACACCUCUGCGUUCAACACACGUACGGCUCGAUGACGUCUCCUCCUCCUUGAUCCAGCAAGCGAUGGAGGAUAAGUAGAUGGGAUCUUCGGCAGCACGACGACAUGACGGUGAUGGUGGUAGAGUGAUUCCGGCAGGGCUACACCGAGCGCUACCGAAACAACCAAAAGACGGAGGAGUUACGAAGUAACGGGAGAGAGAGGGGGGCAAGGGCUUGUGUCUCCUCUUGGGGUGCCCCUUCCCCUAUAUAUAGGUGGAGGGGCAUGGUGGCCAACCCUCCAAGCCCUAGGGCUGGCGCACCAAGGGGGAGGAGUUACUCCUAGUCCAAUCCCCUCCCUUCCAUACACAGGUGGACUUUCCACCUUUCCCAGCCACAUGGGCCUUGAGGGACUUGUGCGCCUGGCCCAAUAAGGCUAGAGCGCCUCCCCUUAGCCCAUGCCGACCCUUGGGACAUGGUGGAACCUUGGUGGACUUCUGGACUCCUCCGAAAGUUUCCGGAACCUUCUGUAAGCUUCCCGGUACAAUACCGAAAUACUGAAACUUUUUCUGGAACCCUAAAAGCAACUUUCCAUAUAUAAAUCUUUACCUCCGGACCAUUUCGGAGCUCCUCAUGACGUCCAGGAUCUCAACCGGGACUCCGAACAAUAUUCGGUCACCAACAUGCAUAUCCCAAUAUUACUCUAGCAUCACCGAACGUUAAGCGUGCAGACCCUACGGGUUCGAGAAUCAUGUAGCCAUGACCGAGACACCUCUUCAAUGAAUAACCAAUAGCAGAACCUAGAUGUCCAUAUUAGUUCCUACAUAUUCCACGUAGAUUUUCUAUCGGUUGAACCACGAUGUCAAGUAUUCCGUUAAUCCCGUAUGCAAUUCCCUUUGUUCGACGAUAUGUUACUUGACCAGAUUCGAUCGUUGGUAUCUCCAUACCUAGUUCAAUCUCGUUAGCGGUUAGUCUCUUUACUCGUUCCGUAAUACAAGAUCUUGUGACUAACUCAUUAGCCACAUUGCUUGCAAGCUCUUUAUGAUGUUGUAUUACCGAGAUGGCCCAAAGAUAUCUCUCCGUCACACGGAGUAACAAGUCCCAGUCUUGAUCCAUGCCAACCCAACAGACACAUUCGGAAAUACCUGUAGAGUAUCUUUGUGACCACCUAGUUAUGAAGUGACGUUUGAUAACAAACAAGGUAUUCCUACGGUAUCUGGGAGUUGCAUGAUCUCAUGGGCUUAGGAAUAGAUACUUGACAUGAAAAAAACUAUACCAAUAAACUCAAGUGAUAGUGAUACGAUCGAAUGCUAAGCUUACGAUUGGGUCUUGUCCAUCACAUUAUUCUCCUAAUGAUUUGAUCCCGUUAUCAAAUGAAAACUCAUGUCUAUGGUUAGGAAACCUUAACCAUCUUUGAUCAACGAGCUAGUCUAGUAGAGGCUCACUAGGGACAUAUUAUUUGUUUAUGUAUUCACACAUGUAUUUAAGUUUCAGGUCAAUACAAUUCUAGCAUGAAUAAUAAAACUUUAUCAUGAACAAGGAAAUAUGACAACAAACAAUUUAUUAUUGCCUCUAGGACAUAUUUCUAACACAGGUCAUCCUUGAUUUCCUCCGGUCGGCCGAGUCGGCUGCGGAGGCAAGACGCUGUCGCUGGCAGGAGAUGGAGACGUAGCAGGCCGCGGAGGAAGCGAAGAUGCUCACCUACACGGAUGAGGUCGAGCAGGAGGAGGAUGAGCCGGAGCCCACCUCCUCGCCCGUCCAGCCGUCGCCCGGCACCGUCAUUAUGGACAUCUCCGACGACGAGACUAUCUAGGACAGUACAUAAUAUGUAGUACAUAGGAUUUCUUUACAUGAUUUGUAUGGAUCUAGGGGAUGAAAUAUGAGAGAGACAGAUGCAGAGUGGCUAAUUUGAGAUAUGACUGGUCACUGUCCGCGGACGCGCUCAAUCACGUCCGCGGGCAUUUGAGGAGCCGAAUUUGCAAAGUCCGACGGUAGAUGCUCUAAGAGGGGAAAAGUGAAAUGUCAAAAUUUUAAAUGACAAAGAAAAAUUGGCAAAAUCUAAAGUAGCAAAACAAAAUUUUUCCUCUCCUAUUGGGUGCAUAACGAUAAGAAAAAAAGCUGCCGACUUCUGCUUUGCGGCUUCCCCACUCCAGAAAUGUUGUGGUGCAUACAUGCAAGUAGUCGAUCUCGUAACAUAAUCUAUUCUCGUGUCCGGAACAGUAUUGGUCCAAUUUGGCGGUAUCCAAUCAUCAUCUUAGUUUUCUACUUACUCCCUCCGUUCUUAAAUGUAAGUCUUUUUAGAGAUUUCACUACAAACUACAUACGGAUGUAUAUAGACAUAUUUUAGAGUGUAGAUUCACUCAUUUUGAUCCGUAUAUAGUCCAUAGUAGAAUCUCUAAAAAGACUUAUAAGACUUAUAUUUAGGAACGGAGGGAGUACUUUUCUCCUCUGUUCGUGUCACUGAUUUGACAGCUCUCGCGGAAACAUGAAGCUAUUGCCAAUUCGACAGGACGAACGCCGAAGGUAGGCACACGCAUGCAUGAAGCCAUGUCGCAGUCACGUUCCGUAGACAUGCUCGCUGUGAAAAAUCUGCUCCGGCCGUCACAUUCGCGAGGCACGUUGUUUGUCUACACCCACUUAUUGAUCAGCGUACGCAGGCCGGUAAAAUAAUCUUCCGUAUGCCACGCACAGUGACUAGUACAGUACGUAUAUUAUUUACAGCCAGAUGAGAUGUCAAUCAACUGGAUUUUCUAUGAUUCUGCAGCUAGCACAGCAAUCUUCACUCGGUCAACUGCUGCGCUUUACCCCUCAGAUGGCUCCCGUCCUCACUAAUCAUGCUCUUCUCCACACAAACCUGGCUCAGCUUUCCGAGCCCGAUCAUUGUGUUCUCUUUACCCAAUGGAAUCAUGCCAGCCAGACCGCCAGCUGACCGUGUGAGCGGAGAUAAUGCAUCGAUAGUCCAUCUGCGCCGGCCGCGCGCAACGCAUGGUGAUAAAACAAAACUAUAGAGCAGCCGUUAUACGUCCGAAUACGGAGUUCCAGCGAGGCAGAGAUCGAGAUAACCAUGCAUGCAGGGCUAUUUUACUCGCCUUGUGAUGGACGUGGAAGCUGGCAGCGCGCAAAGUCCUUGAUUUGAUCAUGGGCAGCUAGCUAGCAGAUCCGUGCCAUCCGGACAGAUAGCUUAAAUCUGAUACUAGUACCAGAUCUCCAUCGUGUGAGUUUGGAAUUUUCGGUCGUGCGUUAUUGGCUGACGUGUUUUAGGGCAUGCAUCCUUAUCAGGCCACGUACGGCCUGGGAUAUGCAUCGCUGACUCAGAGGCAAAUCGCAAAGUGUAACCACUGACCAAGAGAUGAGAAGUGGUAGAGCAGAGCACGUAACGAUCGAGCCGCUGGUUGGCAUAGCCAUCCUCGGUUGGUAGAGCCGAGUAUGGCGUUCGUCGACCCGGGGUUGCUAAAACGCAUGGCACGAAGAAUUCCGUUGCAGUAAAAGCAUCCCUCGAUUGGAUGCACAUUUUAAAAAAAUUCCGAUGAUACAUUUUUUGUGACAUAUAAGUAUAUAACCCAUAUUUUGUUGACCAAAAUUAUAGGUCAAGCUUUGACAAAAAGAAACAAAGUGACAUUGUAUAAAAAAGACGAAGAAAGUGUCUAAUCAGACCCCUCAAAUCAAAUGGCUGUAAGAUCGGCUCGUCGAGUUGUCAGAGCGGUCGGGCCUGGGUAGCAGAUGUGUUCAUUUUUCAACAUGAAAGGCGAGACGACAGGAACGUAAAAUGGCCGACCAUGCAUGCAUAGAGAUAUACAGUACUCUAUUACUCCCUCCGUUCCGAGUUACUUGUCGCAAGUAUGGAUGUAUCUAGAUGUAUUUUGGUUCUAGAUAUAACUAUUUCUGCGACGAGUAAUUUAAAACGGAAGGAGUACAUAUGUUAUGUUCGAUUUGUUUAGAUACAAAUAUAACUUGGGAUGGAGGGAGUAUAGAUUAAUAUUAAAGAGUACCCUCUCCGUUUGAAAAUGUUUGUUCCUCAAAUGGAUGUAUCUAGCACUCCAUUCAUUUGAGGAACAAGUUUGGGACAAGUUUUUUCGGACGGAGAGAGUACAUUAGUAUUUUCUUCGUCUCAAAAAGCUCGUUUUUGAUCUGUCAGAUACGGAUGUGUCUAGACACAUUUUAGUGUUAGAUACAUCCAUAUUUAGAUAAAUACUUCCUUCGCGAAGAAAUAUAAGAACGUUACGAGUAGUAUUACGAAAUAAAGUGCCAAUUUCGUGCUCGAAAAAAUGCAAAGCUGCAGCGUCCGUUGCACACGCAGACACACACACCCACACAGGACGGCCCGUGGCGCACGCAGGCUCCGGCCAAGACGGGCGGCUCACGGCUGCGACCGCGAGGCCCCGGAUCGGGACGCGCCGAGCCACCGCCACGAACCGCUCGCUGCGUCGCCAUCGACGGUCCAAGCUUUCUCCAACCCCAGUUCGUGGACGGAUCGAUCCCGCCCGCCACGCAGGCACCCGCAUUAUCGUCCAGAUACGACGACGCCCUGCCCACGCCCCGGGCCCAGGUUCACUCGCCACGCCUCCGGCCUCCCUUCCCUCCUAUAGCCAUCCGCACGCAUCGCGAGGCGCGUCCCGCGGCAUCCCCUCCGCCCACGUGGCGGCAGCCAAAGUUAGCCUCCCCUCUAUAAUUACCCCCGUCUCCCGGGCGGGCAGUCCCACCACCAUCUCUCUCCUCUCCUCUGCUCCCUUCCUCUGUCCCUCUCGCACAGCAGAAGAGAACUCCUACCCUCCGGUGAGUCAGCACUGAGCUCGGCUCCCUGCUCCGUCAGCUGCUCUCCGGCGGCUGGCACCGGGAGCGGCGUUUUCCUUCAGGCAGGGGGUUAACUAAUUUGGGCGUCCUGAGAUCACAGAUGGCCGCAGCGGUGGCUGACGCGGCGGUGCCGGCGGUGGCGAAGGCGAACGGCGCCGGGGCGGGGUGCUGCGCGGCGAAGGGCCCCGGGUACGCCACGCCCAGGGAGGCCAUGGAGAAGGGCCCGCGGGAGGGGCUCCUCUACGUCACCUGCGUCUACAAUGGUACCAAUCCUUCCUUCCGCCCGACCCUCCUCUUCCAAGUACCAAGUUCCAACACUGGAAAAAAGGCCACUCAUACGCACGGCCAACGCACGCGCACACCGCUGACACCCGCACUGCGGUUGGCGCUUAGAUCUCAGCGAGCAAUUAUGAUUCCGUUACAGGUUCUUAUAAUUAAAGUAUAAGGACGUAGAGUAGUACAACAACAACAGCAGCAGAAGCAGGAGCUUGCACAGGCUUGACUUAACCUGGACUGGACUGAGAAUCCGAGAUGGACAUGCCACUUAAUUUAAUCCUGGAAGUCUCUUUCUAAUGUACUCAGAUUCCAUAUUACUCCUAAUCGAGAAAGUGAGACUUCCAGGAUUAAAAUCCUAGUAAUAUUUGAAUCAAAUGAGUAAACAUAUUAAAUUCCUAAUAUGGGUGUCAGAGAUGACUAAAUGAGGACAAGAAGAAUAUUGGCAUAUGCUUUGCUAUUCUAACUUCCUAAUAAUAAGCCUUGGUCCACGCAAAAAAGAAAAGAGAGCCUUGGUUCAGAUCUCCAAUUACUCUGCAUAUGGCAGUUUCUUUUCGUCAGAGAUGUGCAAUUUUUCGUGCUAUGGUGUAGACACUGGGCUGGAGUAUUUUUAGCCCGUCCAACUUAAUGUAAUGGGUGUAAUGUAGUGUCUAACCAUAUAGACCGGCUUUAAUUCUGAUAUGUACUGCUACUACUGUACAUAUGCACGCAGCAUGCAUGUGCCCUCCAUGGCAGAAACUGCCAUUUGCUGUUACACAAGUGUCCAAGUUGGCUGAGUCGUGGAUCAUUCAGAACCGUCUAGUUCAGUCCCUGUCUGUUUCUGAGCUUCACAUGGCCUGUCUUCAUGGCAGUUUCUGAAGGCAGAACAAACCAUGUGAGCAUGAGAAGAGAUGUACGGGUGUGCCUUUGUACAGGUUGAUUGCCUGAUUGUGUGAAGUCUUGCUGAUUGCCUGAUUGAACUGAAUUUUGCAGGUACUGGAAUCAACAAGCCGGAUUACCUGGCUACAGUGGACGUCGACCCCAAUUCAGCGACCUACUCCCAGGUGAUCCACAGGCUCCCGGCCACCCACAUCGGCGACGAGCUGCAUCACUCCGGCUGGAACGCUUGCAGCUCCUGCCAUGGUGAUCCAUCCACGAGCCGGCGCUUCUUGAUUCUCCCUUCGUUGCUGUGAGUAAUCAGAUGAAUGAACGGUUGAAUUUUAGCUCAGUUUUGAAAUGCUGAUCUGCUGGUUGUUCACAGGUCUGGUCGCGUGUAUGUGGUCGACACUGCAAAGGAUCCGAGGGCGCCUGCUCUGCACAAGGUUGUCCAGGCUGAGGACAUUGCUGAGAAGACCGGGCUUGGGUUCCCUCACACAUCCCAUUGCCUUGCAACUGGGGAUAUCAUGAUUUCCUGCCUGGGAGACAAGGAGGGCAAUGCUGCUGGCAAUGGCUUUCUCCUGUUGGAUUCAGAGUUUAACGUCAAAGGGCGGUAAGUUUUUUGCCCACAAUCUGGGUACCAUUGACAUGGAAACAUAACAUAUGCUCAAAAUGCAUGCUGUAACAUAUUGUCACUUCAUCAUGAAACCAUCUCAGCAUAUCAGAAUCAUCCAACCACUCCAUCCUGAUUUACAUAUUACAAAAUCUUCAGUAAUAUUUCAGCUUUGAAAAACUUUAGUACUCCUAUUAUUGAUGCCUUACUUUUCCGAAACAGACAGUUUUCAGUGGCUCCAACUGUACUGAUUUAACUAUUUGCUACUUGUAGUUGGGAAAAGCCAGGUCACAGCCCCUUGUUUGGCUAUGAUUUCUGGUACCAGCCUCGUCACAAGACGAUGAUUAGCUCUUCAUGGGGAGCUCCGGCAGCUUUCAGGACAGGUUUCGAUCUCCAGCAUGUCCAGGAUGGUCUCUAUGGAAGGCACCUGCAUGUGUAUGACUGGCCUGGUGGUGAGCUCAAGCAGACACUGGAUCUAGGCAGCACAGGUCUUCUUCCACUGGAGGUGUGUAUCAACUAUCAAGUACCAAGAGUAUAGGGGUCUAAUAAUUAUCCUAUAACCAUAGUUCUCUUUUUAUCUUCUCUGCAGGUGAGGUUUUUACAUGACCCAUCAAAGGACACUGGCUAUGUUGGCUGUGCUUUGACAAGCAACAUGGUGAGAUUCUUCAAAACUGCAGAUGGAUCAUGGAGCCAUGAGGUUUGUCCGCAAUGACAUGCUAAUGCCUACUUCUUUCACACAUAAUGAAGUUUAUUUUCAUUUUAUUUACACUUCUUGUGCCUGUAUUUGUAGGUAGCUAUAUCCAUAGAGCCACUGAAGGUGCGCAACUGGAUGCUGCCAGAAAUGCCAGGAUUGAUAACUGACUUUGUCAUCUCUCUCGAUGACCGUUAUCUCUACUUGGUCAACUGGCUUCAUGGGGAUAUCAGGCAGUACAACAUUGAGGACCCUGCAAAGCCUGUGUUGGCUGGGCAAGUAUUUGUAGGUGGGCUUCUUCAAAAGGGCAGUGAUGUUGUCUAUGUGACCGACGAUGACAAAGAAGAGCAGUAUGCUGUGCCCCAAGUCAAGGUAAACUCUACAGUACUCCUCUUAAAUCUUAAUGGCUUGGUACAUAAGUUACAUUCUUCAGAAUAUCUUCUGUAUCUUUUAUUAAAAAAUAACCAGAGUUACAAUUCAAUACUGGUUAUAUAUAGUUCAACUGAUGGGUGAUUCAAGUACCAACUGGAACACAUCCAGCUUGCAAUGCUGCUAUACUUAUUCUCAACUAAACCGAAUGAUCCAAUGAAACUGCAAUAUUUGGAACAUACUCCUUCCGUCCCAAAAUUCUUGUCUUAGAUUUUUCUAAAUAGGGAUGUAUCAACUCACGUUUUAGUAUUAGAUACAUCCAUAUCUAGACAAAUCUAAGACAAGAAUUUUGGGACGGAGGGAGUAUUUAUUUCUAGUCACUCAACAUUACUCUGACAUACCAUGUGUCUUGUAUUCAGGGGCACCGGCUUAGAGGUGGGCCGCAGAUGAUUCAGCUGAGCUUGGAUGGCAAGAGGGUCUAUGUAACCAACUCUCUCUUCAGCCGAUGGGACGAGCAGUUCUAUGGCCCUGACCUUCUCAAGAAGGGAUCUCACAUGUUGCAGAUCGACGUCGACACCGAGGAAGGAGGGCUGACUGUCAACCCCGACUUCUUUGUGGAUUUUGGCACCGAGCCUGAAGGUCCCUCAUUGGCCCAUGAAAUGAGAUAUCCUGGGGGAGACUGCACCUCUGACAUAUGGAUCUAGGACGAAGGGUGUAGGGUGCAUAUGCAGCUGGAGAUCCAUGGUGUUAAGCUCACUGUAAUUAAGAUGGUUUCUUCCCUGCCUGCGGUGUUGUAUGUGAUGUGGUAUCAAUUGGAAUAAGUUCCUGAUAGAACCUCUGACAUUGGCUUCAUGGGAGCUUGUGCCCUAAUAAGAGUUGCCUCUGAUUCUGAAAUUUCUGAUGCUUUUGUAGGCCUUAUAUCUUCUGCUUGAAAUGUUCUAAACGAG
rnacentral:lncRNA from 1 species